AAGAAGAGGAAGAGGAAGCAGGAGGAGGAGGAGGAGGAAGAAGACGACGACGACAACAACAUGCGGGAGCGUCGCAGAAAGUCUCCAGUUCAACUUUAACAUCUUAAAGAUACAUCCUGUUGGUGUCAAAUCAAAUGGAAGUUGCUUCCCUGGGUCGACCUUUCACCCUCUGAAUGCUCUAUGAUGCUCAAAGAGAUGCACUGAUCACAGGUUUCUGCUUCAUCACGUGUUCCCUACUAGUCGAGGACCUUUGACCUUUGUGAACACGGCUCACACUGACACUCAGUCACCCAGUCAGACCGCAUACUUUGAUGGUGACGUGAGGACACACCCUCUCUGAUGAAGGACAACAAGCUCCAACAAGCUGCGUCGCUUCACACCGUCUGAUGGAAGCUGAAGUGAAGCACGGAGCUCCUUUUCUACACGGACCUGCUGAGGACAGAAGAGAGCUGCUCACUGAGGAAGUUCAUGUCUACA